rnacentral:rRNA from 1 species
GACGAACGCUGGCGGCGUGCUUAACACAUGCAAGUCGAACGGAAAGGCCUCUUUCGGGGGGUACUCGAGUGGCGAACGGGUGAGUAACACGUGAGUAACCUGCCCUUGACUUUGGGAUAACUUCAGGAAACUGGGGCUAAUACCGGAUAGGAGCUCCUGCUGCAUGGCGGGGGUUGGAAAGUUUCGGCGGUUGGGGAUGGACUCGCGGCUUAUCAGCUUGUUGGUGGGGUAGUGGCUUACCAAGGCUUUGACGGGUAGCCGGCCUGAGAGGGUGACCGGCCACAUUGGGACUGAGAUACGGCCCAGACUCCUACGGGAGGCAGCAGUGGGGAAGAUUGCACAAUGGGUGGAAGCCUGAUGCAGCAACGCCGUGUGCGGGAUGACGGCCUUCGGGUUGUAAACCGCUUUCGCUCAUGACGAAGCUUUGUGUGACGGUAGUGGGUAAAGAAGCACCGGCUAACUACGUG